GGAGGGGCCGGGAGGGCCGGGUGGUCAUGGAAGCGUUUCUCCGGUACACGAGGGGACGGGGGAGGUGACCUCAGCCGCGGCGUAAGCAGCGCAUCUCUUCCUGCGCCGUGCGGGGCUCCCAGCCCCGUCCUCCUUAGGCAGAGUCGCUGUUGGUACGCGUGGAGAAAGUGCGCGGCUCAACUUCAACACUCGCUCUUCUCAUUCUCACUUCGGACGCCGUGUUUCGCUUAAAAAUGUCUUCUGUAACUUCCAGGUCUGCGCCGAGGCAGUGCUGACAGCAGCCGCCGGCUGUAUUGUAGUGGUCACGGAGUUUGGAGGGUGUCGUGUGCUCCCUGUGCUGCACAUGCACUCUGCUCCAGGUACUCUCAGGAUGGUGUUUGCGUGCAGGGGGCAGCAGAGCCCCCAAGAUGUCAUCGACUGUCCCCAGGACACCAGGCUGCUGUUGGAAGGCUCGUACAGGUGUAUUCUUCCCUCCGUGCAAUGGAGUCAUUUCUAUUCAGUUGCUCUGAUUUUCUGCUAUACAAUCAUCUUUAAGUUUGAGUAACAAGUAUUUAACCUCAAAUGAAGCUUCCUGCAUGCAGCGGAACAGAUAUAUGGUGCAAAAGAAUCACAGCUGUCCAAUCAAGAUGAACAGAAUGGCUUCCUUGACCAAGAAAAUAGAACAUUCGAUUUUUAGGAUGAUAUCUACAACAUGAAGCAUUCAACAGAAGCUGCCUUUGAGAACGUUUAUCUAUGACCUGAAAUGUCCUGAUCCUGGGGAAAAAGAUGAGAUUCCAUUAAUUAAGUCUAUAAUUUCUUAAUGCAUCCUUAUGACUAUUCAUUUUUGCGUCCGCACAACACGGAUACAGAAUUCAUAAACCAGAGAUUAUUUUAACACGUAGAUUUGUGUUUGUGCAUUCAGUAUACAAGAUACAUCAUUUUAAUCAAAUUUCACAUAAUCUUUUAAAUUAUCUGUAUUUAUUAAUAAAUGAAGACGUG
rnacentral:lncRNA from 1 species